GAAAGGCGCGUCGCUGAUGGAGCUGUCCUUGGUGUCGUCCACAACCACCACCAGAGGGAGCCCUGAUCGUAACGUUAGAACACAAGGAGCCACAGUCAUCGCCAUCUCUGCUGAGACGUAUGCAGCUGCAGCGGCUUGUCUCGCUCCAGUCAGAUGAUCCACAGACUUCUGAUCCAGAAACUUUUCUGGAGUGUGACCCAUCAGAUGUUCUCGGCCACAUGUGAGUAAGGGGUGAUCGAGGCCUGGUCCAAUAAGAGACUUGGCCCAACAGUGGUGCUGAGGAGCACACUGGACCUGUGGAUUUAAUGGAGGAACAAAAAGAGACAAAUGUUUUUUAGAGGACUCAAAAACAAGUGAUGAAGCUCAUAUAGAAG